rnacentral:rRNA from 1 species
UGGGGAAUAUUGGGCAAUGGGGGAAACCCUGACCCAGCGACGCCGCGUGAAGGACGAAGGCCUUCGGGUUGUAAACUUCUUUGAUCAGGGACGAAACAAAUGACGGUACCUGAGGAACAAGCCACGGCUAACUACGUGCCAGCAGCCGCGGUAAUACGUAGGUGGCAAGCGUUAUCCGGAUUUACUGGGUGUAAAGGGCGUGUAGGCGGUCUUGCAAGUCGGAAGUGAAAUUCCCGGGCUUAACUCGGGCGCUGCUCCCGAAACUGCGAGACUUGAGUACUGGAGAGGAUAGUGGAAUUCCUAGUGUAGCGGUAAAAUGCGUAGAUAUUAGGAGGAACACCAGUGGCGAAGGCGGCUAUCUGGACAGUAACUGACGCUGAGGCGCGAAAGCGUGGGGAGCAAACA